CCUGCUGGGCCUGAUGAGGUCGUUUUAAAGUGCACAAAAGAACCGGAAUAWUUUUUACUCUAAAUGUUAUUAUCAUGCACUGACAGUAGAGAAAAUUCAGUUUAUGCCACUCGGUGAUGUUUUACCUUCUUUGCUUUGUGUUCGAAGCGAUCCUGAUCGAAGGAUAUCUGUGUCCGUCUGGUCAGCCUGGGCAGCUUGAGGCCUUUACUGGUGGGAACGUCGUUCUUCCCUGCAGUCUGAACAUCCAUCCCAGUGACGAUGUCCAGACGGUGGAGUGGACCAAACUGGUAGCAGGCCAGAAGCCAGUCGUUGUUUUCCUGUACCGCCACGGCUGCGAAACCUUCGAGAUGAAGGAUCCCGACUUUGAGUAUCGGACGAGCCUCAUCAUGAGAGAGGUGAAGAACGGGAACGUUUCUCUGAGGAUCUCCGGCGUGAAGCCGUCCGAUGGCGGGACGUAUCAGUGCUUAACCAUCCAGAAUGACGGCCGCAGACAGGAAGCCAAAGUGGAGCUGGUUGUUGCUCCCGGGGAGGAAUCCACCACCACAACCAUUCUGAUAUGUGUCGCUUUAGCAGUUUCACAUUUAUUUAAUCUACUGUUGAUGUUGUAUUUGUUGGUAACAACGAAGCGAACGAAUUCUGAUGGAGAAAAACCAUCAGAGCAAAAGGACAAGUUAGACCAAACCAUGAUGACUGACUUUGGUAAAUCCAACUCCCUUCUGAACCAGCUGAGUCUGACUGAAAACAGGCAAAACUGCAUCCUGGCGGAGCUGAAUAAGCAGAGGCGCAAAGCGGACACCAUCCAAAUAGACGACAGCCGUUCCUGGAACCGUCCUGCCUGCCAGCACAACCAUCCAACAACCAGCCAGAGCUCCACCGGAUCGUCUCUGGAUUCCUGGGAAACCCGAUCUCUAAUGUCUGAUCCUGACGCUGAGGCGGAAAACUCACCGGGAGAUCAGCAGCCAAACCGGGCCUGACCUGAAACAUCUGUCCAGCUGUCCAAAAGGAGCGGCCAAGUUCAUACACUGAUAGGUAGAAAGGUUUGGGUUUAGUGCCUUACCAAGGGCACAUGACAUGUGGCAGUUGGGAUGUGAUUAAUCUCAAACCUCAUUUUGGACUAAUUUAAAGAUGACUUGAACUUUUAAAAUCCUAAAUUACUAAUAUAUUAUGACUGAUAUUCUGGUGUAAAUAAAAGCAUGUUCCUGAAUGUUCCUAAGAAACUGAAUGACGGAUGGCAUGCUGC